UACGGGGGGGGCAAGCGUUGUUCGGAAUUACUGGGCGUAAAGGGCUCGUAGGCGGCCAACUAAGUCAGACGUGAAAUCCCUCGGCUUAACCGGGGAACUGCAUCUGAUACUGGAUGGCUUGAGUUCGGGAGAGGGAUGCGGAAUUCCAGGUGUAGCGGUGAAAUGCGUAGAUAUCGUCCAGAACACCGAUAGCGAAGGCAGCUUACUAAGGAGUAACUGACGCUGAGGCACGAAAGUGUGGGGAUCAAACAGG
rnacentral:rRNA from 1 species